UGAGGAAUAUUGGUCAAUGGGUGCAAGCCUGAUCCAGCCAUGCCGCGUGAAGGAAUAAGGCCCUAUGGGUUGUAAACUUCUUUUAGACGGGACAAAACCCCUUUACGUGUAAAGGGUUGAUGGUACUGUCAGAAUAAGCAUCGGCUAACUUCGUGCCAGCAGCCGCGGUAAUACGAAGGAUGCAAGCGUUAUCCGGAAUUAUUGGGUUUAAAGGGUGCGUAGGCGGACUAAUAAGUCAGUGGUGAAAGCCUGCAGCUUAACUGCAGAAUUGCCAUUGAUACUGUUAGUCUUGAGUACAGUUGAGGUAGGCGGAAUGUGUCAUGUAGCGGUGAAAUGCUUAGAUAUGACACAGAACACCGAUUGCGAAGGCAGCUUGCUAAGCUGUAACUGACGCUGAGGCACGAAAGCGUGGGGAGCAAACA
rnacentral:rRNA from 1 species